GAUGAACGCUGGCGGCGUGCCUAAUACAUGCAAGUCGAGCGAACAGACGAGGAGCUUGCUCCUCUGACGUUAGCGGCGGACGUGUGAGUAACACGUGGAUAACCUACCUAUAAGACUGGGAUAACUUCGGGAAACCGGAGCUAAUACCGGAUAAUAUAUUGAACCGCAUGGUUCAAUAGUGAAAGACGGUUUUGCUGUCACUUAUAGAUGGAUCCGCGCCGCAUUAGCUAGUUGGUAAGGUAACGGCUUACCAAGGCAACGAUGCGUAGCCGACCUGAGAGGGUGAUCGGCCACACUGGAACUGGGACACGGUCCAGGCUCCUACGAGAGGCAGCAGUAGGGAAUCUUCCGCAAUGGGCGAAAGCCUGACGGAGCAACGCCGAGUGAGUGAUGAAGGUCUUCGGAUCGUAAAACUCUGUUAUUAGGGAAGAACAAAUGUGUAAGUAACUAUGCACGUCUUGACGGUACCGAAUCAGAAAGCCACGGCUAACUACGUG
rnacentral:rRNA from 1 species